AAAAACAAACAAGAUAGGGAUUAAGAGUACACUUAAUCUUGAUGAGCACCAAGUAAUAUAUAGAAUCGUUGAAUCACUACAUUGUACGUCUGAAACUAAUAUAACAGUGCAUGCUAACUAUACUGAAA